rnacentral:rRNA from 1 species
UACGUAGGGUGCAAGCGUUAAUCGGAAUUACUGGGCGUAAAGCGUGCGCAGGCGGUUUUGUAAGUCUGUCGUGAAAUCCCCGGGCUCAACCUGGGAAUUGCGAUGGAGACUGCAAGGCUAGAAUCUGGCAGAGGGGGGUAGAAUUCCACGUGUGAGCAGUGAAAUGCGUAGAGAUGUGGAGGAACACCGAUGGCGAAGGCAGCCCCUGGGUCAAGAUUGACGCUCAUGCACGAAAGCGUGGGGAGCAAACGAGG